GGUUUUGUGGUGUAGUUGGUUAUCACGUUAGUCUAACACAGUGAAGGCCUCCGGUUCAAGUCCGAGCGAAGCCA
rfam:Ipomoea nil DNA, scaffold: scaffold1570, cultivar: Tokyo-kokei standard.